ACCAGCGACCUUCUUGCACCAUGCAGCCCAAGCCCGGUUACUGAAGCUCACUAUAGCUAAGCAGGGCUGAGCCUGGAUAGUACCUGGAUAGGAGACCACAAGGGAAAAAUGUUGCUGUUGGAA
rnacentral:rRNA from 1 species